rnacentral:rRNA from 1 species
AACGUAGGAGGCGAGCGUUAUCCGGAUUUACUGGGCGUAAAGCGCACGCAGGCGGCUUCGUUAGUCGGAUGUGAAAGCUCCUGGCUUAACUGGGAGAGGCCAUUCGAUACUGCGGGGCUUGAGGUUGGGAGAGGGGUGUGGAAUUCCCGGUGUAGUGGUGGAAUGCGUAGAUAUCGGGAGGAACACCAGUGGCGAAGGCGGCACCCUGGCCCACACCUGACGCUGAGGUGCGAAAGCGUGGGUAGCAAACAGG